rnacentral:rRNA from 1 species
CCGAGACACCCCCGAACUCUGCCUGAAGAUUGUCGUCUGAGUGAAAAUAUAAAUUAUUUAAAACUUUCAACAACGGAUCUCUUGGUUCCGGCAUCGAUGAAGAACGCAGCGAAAUGCGAUACGUAAUGUGAAUUGCAAAUUCAGUGAAUCAUCGAGCCUUUGAACGCACAUUGCGCCCCCUGGUAUUCCGGGGGGCAUGCCUGUCCGAGCGUCAUUGCUGCCCUCAAGCCCGGCUUGUGUGUUGGGCCCCGUCCUCCGAUUCCGGGGGACGGGCCCGAAAGGCAGCGGCGGCACCGCGUCCGGUCCUCGAGCGUAUGGGGCUUUGUCACCCGCUCUGUAGGCCCGGCCGGCGCUUGCCGAUCAACCCAAAUUUUUAUCCAGGUUGACCUCGGAUCAGGUAGGGAUACCCGCUGAACUUAAGCA